GUCCACGCCCUAAACUAUGUCUACUAGUUGUUGGGGAGUUAAAUCCCUUAGUAACGCAGCUAACGCGAGAAGUAGACCGCCUGGGGAGUACGGUCGCAAGAUUAAAACUCAAAGGAAUUGACGGGGCCCGCACAAGCGGUGGAUGAUGUGGUUUAAUUCGAUGCAACGCGAAAAACCUUACCUACCCUUGACAUGUCAGAGAUCCCGAAGAGAUUUGGGAGUGCUCGAAAGAGAAUCUGAACACAGGUGCUGCAUGGCCGUCGU
rnacentral:rRNA from 1 species